UACGAAGGGGGCUAGCGUUGCUCGGAAUCACUGGGCGUAAAGCGCACGUAGGCGGGUCCUUAAGUCAGGGGUGAAAUCCCGGAACUCAACUCCGGAACUGCCUUUGAUACUGGGGAUCUUGAGUCCGGAAGAGGUGAGUGGAACUCCGAGUGUAGAGGUGAAAUUCGUAGAUAUUCGGAAGAACACCAGUGGCGAAGGCGGCUCACUGGACCGGUAUUGACGCUGAGGUGCGAAAGCGUGGGGAGCAAACAGG
rnacentral:rRNA from 1 species